GCUGGUUUUUUUUUCCGCGGUGAUACUUCAAUGCGAAUGUGUAUCACCGGGUAAAAACUGGUAGA
rnacentral:pre_miRNA from 1 species